AUCAAAAACAAAAUUAAAAACAAAAAACAUUAAGAAAAAGGGUGUAAAACAAACACUAACAGCUUCAAUUCCUCAACCUGCGUUCUUCAUCCUUCACUCCAUUUUUUUUAUUUUUUUUUUUUUUUUUUUUUGGGAAAGCCAGUUCUUUACUCCAUCCUCUAUUCUCUACCAAUUUCAAGCUUUUAACCCAACUACUCUCUUCUAGACUCAAGUGGGAAAUCUCAAAUUCUCAGUUGAAUCAUGGGGCAGCCUCAAAUGGUUAGAGGUGGCGAGGCUGGUGCACCUACACCAUAGAGAUAAAUGACCAACAAUGCCCUAGCUUACCUGAAGGCAGUGAAGAAAUUGUUCCCGAAGAAGGAGAAAUAUGAUGAAUUCAUCAGGUUAUUAUGAGGCAAUAAGCUGGAACAUUGGUAUUUUAGUUCAGCCUAAGAUGCAGUUCUAUAUGUUUCAAAAUUCUGUAGCUUAUCAAUUCUAAACAUCAGUUCUGAUUGUCCGCUCUGAAAUCAGAUCUGAAUUAUAGUUCUGAAAUUCAUUUCAAGAUAUCAGUUCUGUUUUUUAGUUGUGAAAUCAGUACUAAAUUUCAGUUCUGAAAUCAGUUUUGAAAUUCAGCUCUGAAAUAAGUCCUGAUAAUUAUUUCUAAUUUAGUUCUGAGACGGUGUUCUGAAAUCAGUUGAGAGAUUGUGAUCUGAAAUUAGUUCUGAAAUUCAGUUCUGAAUUUCAUGGUUGGUUCAUUUCAGGAGUGCUAUAUUGUUAGGUCUUUUAAGAAAACAAGUUGGUUUCUGCUAUAAUGGCUACUCAGAUGAGCAAGAACCGGAAGUUCGGUGCUGAUGGUGUCAUUUACGCUGAACUAAAUAAAGUUUUCAGGAGAGAACUCACUCAAGAUAGCUACUAUGGUGGCGAAGUGAGAAGGGAAGACGGAUUAAGGAAUCCUGUUUUUUGAAUAUGGAUGAGUGUGAUGUAGCAAACUUUAUAGCCAUUUGCUGGGCUAUUUAUGGUGCUAGGAAUUCUCAGAUCAUGGAGGGGGAGUGUAGGGACUAUGGGGAAGUGCUGAGCUAUGCUAUAAAGACUGGAAAUUCCAAGCCUGGUUUUUGCUGUGCUGCUGCUGUUAGUUCAGGGAAGGCUGCUGUCGAUUGGACAACAUAUGCAGGACUCUUAAAGGUUAAUGUUGAUGCUGCCUUUGUAGUGACUUUGGGUGUGGUUUGGGGUACUGAUCAGGGAUGGUUUUGGUGAAGUUAUGGCUACAGGGGUCUAGCAGGGCAGUGAGAAGUGGGACGUGAGGGUGGCUGAAGCAAAAGCCGUGUGAUGGGGGCUGUAGCUGGCUGCGAAUAUGGGUGCCCAAAAUUUAGUUGAGGGUGAUUGUUUGCAGGUCUUCCAAGCUUUGAAGAGCGAAGAGAUUGGCUAUAGUGAAUUUUCUUUAAUUUUAGGGGAUGUUUUGUUAUUUUGCACUAACUUUGUUAUUGUUUAGUGGCCUUUUGUGAAACGAGGUGGGAAUAGGGUUGCUCGUGAAUUGACCCGGUUUCAUCAUAGGGAAGUGGGUCAAUGAAUGUGGUUUGAUGUAAUUCCCUCUCGUAUUCUUGAUGUAGCUCUUCUUGAUAUAUCUAAUUAGCUCCCCUUUAUGGGUUUUAUAAAAAAAAAGGAAAAAAAAGAAAAAAAAAAGAGAAAAAGGAAUGGACCAUGUUUUAUUGACUUGAUAUAAAUCUGACCUGGAUUCUUAUUACUUUAAUUCUUCAUGUACAUGUAAGAGGUUAUGGAAGGAGAAUACAUUGAAGAAAAUGGGACCCAAGGAAGAUAUUAUCUCAACAUUAAUUAAGCUUUAAAAAUGCUAACAAAAAAAAAAAAACUUUUGGGUUACUAUUUGCACAUUAAAAUCGUAUCAUAUAAUAAGAAAAGGCUAUGUUUUUUUUAUAAAACCGUAGCAAUCAGGUAAAAAAUGCUAUGAUUUUUAAUUGUAGCAAAUACAUGUUCCUAUGUGUUACUCCUAGUUUUGCGGUUCAAAACCAGAGCAAAAGGCUUGAAUAAAACCGUAGCAAGUGUACUAGUGUAUUUUGCA